GAGUCGCUAAUUCAGUUGGAUAGAAUAUCUGACUUUUAAUCAGAAGGUCCCGAGUUCGAAUCUCGGGCGACUCACCA
rnacentral:tRNA from 1 species